CCAAUACAGAUUCAAAUUUCUCCAAUGCUUCGUCAUAUUUGGCGUUUCUAUAUCAAUUAACCAAGAAGAAGAAAAAAAACAGCCAAAUAAAAUAACACAGUAGGGCGUCUAGAAGAAGAUGAUAGAUGACCCCAUAGGAAGCAAUAACCGUGUUAUAGAAGUCUUUUUCAAUUAGGAGAUUGACUCCUAUAGGAUAGGAUUCCUAAUCCAUGUAGAAGUAGAGUUUUAAACCAUAUAGAAUAGGAGAUAAUUGUAUACAUACAUAUAUAUGUGUGUGUUUGUGUUAACACCUUUGAACAUAUGAAAAAUACAUGGUAUCAGAGCUGUCACCUUUGAAUUAUCAUCUCAAUGUUUUGUUACCUCUUUAGAUUCUAUAAAAAUCCCUAAAACAGUCAUUGAGGCAUUAUCUCAUCCUAAUUGGUGCGCCGCUAUGAAAGAGGAAAUGGAGGCCUUAGAUACAAAUGAUACAUGAGAACUGGCGCUUUUGCCCACUAGUAAGAAGGCUAUUGGAUGCAAAUAGGAUUUUUCAGUAAAGACGAAUCCUGAUGGUUCUAUAGCCACAUUGAAAACACACCUUAUAGCCAAAGGAUAUGCUCAAACAUAUGGGGUGGAUUACUCUGAUACUUUUUCUCCUGUAGCUAAACUAGCUUCAGUUCGAUUGUUCAUCUCCCUAGCAGCUACACAUGAUUGGCCUUUGCACCAAUUAGAUAUAAAGAAUGCCUUCCUUCAUGGUGAUCUCUAAGAGGAGGUAUAUAUGGAGCAACCACCAGGGUUUAUUGCUUAGGGGGGAGUUGAGUAAAGUUUGCAAACUUCGAAAGUCUCUUUAUGGCUUGAAACAA
rnacentral:misc_RNA from 1 species